rnacentral:rRNA from 1 species
AUUGAACGCUGGCGGCAGGCCUAACACAUGCAAGUCGAGCGAGCGACGGACGGGUGAGUAAGGCAUAGGAAUCUGCCUGGUAGUGGGGGGUAACGUACGGAAACGGUAGCUAAUACAACAUACCAUCUGAUGUGCCCAGAUGGGAUUAGCUAGUUGGUGGGGUAACGGCUCACCAAGGGGACGAUCCCUAGCUGGUCUGAGAGGAUGACCAGCCACACUGGAACGGAGACACGGUCCAGACUCCUACGGGAGGAAGCAGUGGGGAAUAUUGCACAAUGGGCGCAAGCCUGAUGCAGCCAUGCCGCGUGUAUGAAGAAGGCCUUCGGGUUGUAAAGUACUUUCAGCGGGGAGGCGUUACCCGCAGAAGAAGCACCGGCUAACUCCGUGCCAGCCGCCGCGGUAAUUC